rnacentral:lncRNA from 1 species
GUCAGAGAGUUUGCCGUUCUAUUAAAAGAAGAGGAAAAACUUGCUUACCGAUUGAUUUCAAGAAUGUAUCAUUUUCCACACAUUUCUGUCUCUUCUGUUCUAAGUCUGCAGUCGCGCGGCUGGUGGUGUGGCACAGACGGAGCAAGGGUUACAUCAAGGCUGUUCUCUGGACCGUGCAAACAGUCUAGACCAAUGACCUGCAGCAUCAUGCCCUUUGAAGAAGAGGCAAGUUCGGUCACGACGAAGAAAAAUCAAGGCGUACCCCUUUUAACAAUAGGGAGCAGCUCGUGGCUGCAAAGAGGUGUCCACCUGCCAUUCAGUUUUGCAGUGGGAUCAUUUGUAUCACUUCACAAAUUGCUGAGCAAGAGAAUCCAACUUUGGGAGCAUGCUCAUUGUGAUACCCUCAGUGAUUUCUGUUUCAUGCAUUCUCCUCAGGGCUGUGAUUUUAACAGACCAGUGAAAGAAAAAAUUUCAAAAGAAAAGGAAACUGAAGAAGUUAAUUGUACCAGAGCAGAAUCCAGAGAAGAAAAAAGUAGCCAUGGAUUCCAGUGCUCACUUCUACCUUUGCUGCAUCUCCUUUUAAACAGAGAAAGCUUUCCCUUAAACUACAGUAAUUCAAGGCUUUCUGACUGA